ACCUGGCUGGUUCAGUCAGGUGGAACAUGUGACUCUUGAUCUUGGGGUCAUGAGUUCAAGCCCCAUGUUGGGCA
rnacentral:tRNA from 1 species